CUCCAGAUGACGAGCCCCAAAUAGGACGAAAUACGCAUUCUGGAU
rnacentral:hammerhead_ribozyme from 1 species